UACGUAGGGUGCGAGCGUUAAUCGGAAUUACUGGGCGUAAAGCGUGCGCAGGCGGUGAUGUAAGACAGAUGUGAAAUCCCCGGGCUCAACCUGGGAACUGCAUUUGUGACUGCAUCGCUGGAGUGCGGCAGAGGGGGGUGGAAUUCCGCGUGUAGCAGUGAAAUGCGUAGAUAUGCGGAGGAACACCGAUGGCGAAGGCAAUCCCCUGGGCCUGCACUGACGCUCAUGCACGAAAGCGUGGGGAGCAAACAGG
rnacentral:rRNA from 1 species